CGCUAGCGGCAGGCUUAACACAUGCAAGUCGAGGGGCAGCAUAAUGGAUAGCAAUAUCUAUGGUGGCGACCGGCGCACGGGUGCGUAACGCGUAUGCAACCUACCUUUAACAGGGGGAUAACACUGAGAAAUUGGUACUAAUACCCCAUAAUAUCAUAGAAGGCAUCUUUUAUGGUUGAAAAUUCCGAUGGUUAGAGAUGGGCAUGCGUUGUAUUAGCUAGUUGGUGGGGUAACGGCUCACCAAGGCGACGAUACAUAGGGGGACUGAGAGGUUAACCCCCCACACUGGUACUGAGACACGGACCAGACUCCUACGGGAGGCAGCAGUGAGGAAUAUUGGUCAAUGGACGCAAGUCUGAACCAGCCAUGCCGCGUGCAGGAUGACGGCUCUAUGAGUUGUAAACUGCUUUUGUACUAGGGUAAACUCACCUACGUGUAGGUGACUGAAAGUAUAGUACGAAUAAGGAUCGGCUAACUCCGUG
rnacentral:rRNA from 1 species